GAUUAACGCUAGCGGCAGGCCUAAUACAUGCAAGUCGAACGGUAACAGGUCCAGCAAUGGAUGCUGACGAGUGGCGCACGGGUGCGUAACACGUAUGCAAUCUACCCUUAACUGGGGGAUAGCCCCGAGAAAUCGGGAUUAAUACCCCAUAAUAUUAUGAAGUGGCAUCAUUUUAUAAUUAAAGCUCCGGGCGGUUUUGGAUGAGCAUGCGCGACAUUAGCUAGUUGGUGAGGUAACGGCUCACCAAGGCUUCGAUGUCUAGGGGUUCUGAGAGGAUUCACCCCCACACUGGUACUGAGACACGGACCAGACUCCUACGGGAGGCAGCAGUAAGGAAUAUUGGUCAAUGGACGCAAGUCUGAACCAGCCAUGCCGCGUGCAGGAUGACGGCCCUACGGGUUGUAAACUGCUUUUGUACGGGAAAAAACCUCCGGUCGUGAACCGGAGCUGAUGGUACCGUAAGAAUAAGCAUCGGCUAACUCCGUG
rnacentral:rRNA from 1 species